GCGAACGCUGGCGGCAGGCCUAACACAUGCAAGUCGAACGAACCUUUCGGGGUUAGUGGCGGACGGGUGAGUAACACGUGGGAACGUGCCUUUAGGUUCGGAAUAACUCAGGGAAACUUGUGCUAAUACCGAAUGUGCCCUUCGGGGGAAAGAUUAAUCGCCUUUAGAGCGGCCCGCGUCUGAUUAGCUAGUUGGUUGAGGUAAUGGCUCACCAAGGCGACGAUCAGUAGCUGGUCUGAGAGGAUGAUCAGCCACAUUGGGACUGAGACACGGCCCAAACUCCUACGGGAGGCAGCAGUGGGGAAUCUUGCGCAAUGGGCGAAAGCCUGACGCAGCCAUGCCGCGUGAAUGAUGAAGGACUUAGGAUUGUAAAAUUCUUUCACCGGGGACGAUAAUGACGGUACCCGGAGAAGAAGCCCCGGCUAACUUCGUG
rnacentral:rRNA from 1 species